GUGCUCGCUUCGGCAGCACAUAUACUAAAAUUGUAAUGAUACAGAGAAGAUGAGCAUGGCCCCUGCACAAGAACGACACACAAAUUCGUGAAGCAUUCCAUAUUUUU
rnacentral:snRNA from 1 species